rnacentral:rRNA from 1 species
AGGCAUCUCUACCGUCUGGAAAGUUUUUCGGUCUGGGAUGGACUCGCGGCCUAUCAGCUAGUUGGUGAGGUAAUGGCUCACCAAGGCGACGACGGGUAGCCGGCCUGAGAGGGCGACCGGCCACACUGGGACUGAGACACGGCCCAGACUCCUACGGGAGGCAGCAGUGGGGAAUAUUGCACAAUGGGCGAAAGCCUGAUGCAGCGACGCCGCGUGAGGGAUGAAGGCCUUCGGGUUGUAAACCUCUUUCAGCA